rnacentral:pre_miRNA from 1 species
UGUUAAAAAUUUCAUCAAUUUUUACCAUUAAAAAUUGGAGUGUUUGAUGAAAUAACCAUGAAGUGACAUGUGGCGUGCCACGUGUUCAUCAUGCCGAUGUACAAGGAUCAAAUUUUAACAACAAAUUUGAAUUAAAUUUUUAACA